GUGAAUCAUCAAAUUUUUGAACGCAAAUUGCGCCUUCUUUCGGGAGGCAUGUCUGUUUGAGGGCACCAUUUAACAAAUAAUGUGUGGGUUGCUAUGUGGCGUGCACACGUUGAUGAGCUUUUCUGAAAAACCAGGUUUUUCUGGUGGCGCAUAAUGAAUAGCGUGGGCUUUUUUUUUCGAUUCUCGUGUAGUAUGUAAAUUUUCGACGCUUGGGUUGAGUAAAAGUGCGUGCCGCGAAAUGGGUGUGGCGAAUUUAACCAUGUC
rnacentral:misc_RNA from 1 species